AACGAUACGGGACUCUAUUGAGGCCCCGUAAUCGGAAUGAGUACACUUUAAAUCCUUUAACAAGGAUCCAUUGGAGGGCAAGUCUGGUGCCAGCAGCCGCGGUAAUUCCAGCUCCAAUAGCGUAUAUUAAAGUUGUUGCGGUUAAAAAGCUCGUAGUUGGUUCUGCGUGCCGCGCUGUCGGUUCGCCGCCUGUCGGUGUAACUGGCAUGUCGCGGCAUGUCCUGUCGGUGGUGAGCGGGGUCAGUGGUGAUGCGUAGGCUUUUAUAGUCCAAGCAUUGCCAGUCUGUUUUCCCGUUUACCGAUCUCUCCUACUCCGGUGCUCUUAAACGAGUGUCGAGGUAGGCCGACACGUUCACUUUGAACAAAUUAGAGUGCUUAAAGCAGGCUGAAAUAUCUGCCUGAAUAGUGGUGCAUGGAAUGAUAAAACAGGACCUCAGUUCUAUUUUGUUGGUUUUAGGAAUAUGAGGUAAUGAUCAAUGUGGACUGGCGGGGGCAUUCGUAUUGCGACGUUAGAGGUGAAAUUCUUGGAUCGUCGCAAGACGCACUAGAGCGAAAGCAUUUGCCAAGUAUGUCUUAAUUGAUCAAGAACGAAAGUUAGAGGUUCGAAGGCGAUCAGAUACCGCCCUAGUUCUAACCAUAAACGAUGCCAGCCAGCGAUCCGCCGAUGUUCCUCUAAUGACUCGGCGGGGAGCUUCUACUCGGGAAACCAAAGCUUUUGGGUUCCGGGGGAAGUAUGGUUGCAAAGCUGAAACUUAAAGGAAUUGACGGAAGGGCACCAC
rnacentral:rRNA from 1 species